GAGGCCAGCCCGGGUGAGGAUCUCAUUAUUAGUCAAUCUCUCCUCCCAGGAAACGUUGAGGAGAGAUCGGAGUCGUCCUUGGUGUAACCUCUCAAGCCUCUUGAUGCUGCUCCGAUAGAGGGUCCAACAUUCGGCGCCAUAGAGAAGGGUCGUGAGGACGACAGACAGACUUAUACACCAUGAUCUUCGUGUUGGUGGAAAUGGCGUGAUUCCUGAAGACCAGACGACCGAGGCGUCCAAAGGCUGUGUGGGCUGCCUGGAUACGGUGGAGGGUCUUUGUCUUUUUGGUGUUGACGGAGAGGCCAAAGGUCCUGUACGCCGCGGCGAAGCCGUCCGCGAUGAGCUGGAGGCCCCCGGAGGAGUUGGAGACCGCAGCAUUGUCAUCAGCGUAUUGGAGUUCGCUGACGGUCGUGACCAUGGUCCCCCGCUUGCUCCUCAAACGGCUGAGGUUGAAGAGUGACCCUUCAGUUUGGUAGCGUAGAGUGAUUCCAUGCUCCUGGACAGGGGUGACGUGGUGGAUGAGCGCGGCGAUGUAGAGGCAGAACAACGUCGGCGCCACCGUGCAGCCCUGUUUGACACGGUCCGGACCGGGAAUGGGGGAGUCAUUUCGCCCUGAGUCAGGACGCAACCCUUCAUGCCGUCGUGAAACAUCCGGAAGAGAUAUGAAUUUGGGGGGGCAGCCUUGACGUUCCAGCACUUUCCAGAGUGCUGUUCAUGGCACAGAAUCAAACGCUUUGGCCAGAUCAUAAAAGAUGGCGUGGAACUCCCUCCGCUGCUCCCGGCACUUCUCCAGGAGCUGCCUGGCGCAGAACACCAUGUCCGCGGUUCCCCUGCCUGGACGGAAGCCCGCCUGGGACUCCGGAAGAACCCGCUCAGCGAGACAGUUUCCACAGUCGAGUUUGUCGCCCUUCUUGAAUAUCGUGACGAAGACGGAGUGCUUCAGUUCCCCAGGCACCAUCUCCUCGGCCCAGCAUUGAAGGAUGAAGGUGUGGAGGCGGGGCUCCGGAGAUCUCCCGGAGAGUCGGCAGCUCCGUCAUCCAGUGUUGCACGGGGAGCUGGGGGACAGGAUCGAGGAAGCCGUCUGCUGCGCAUGUCGGACGGUUCAGGAGCUCCAUGAAAUGCUCCUUCCAUCGCUGAAGGAUCUGGUAUCGUGGCGGUCAGCGAAUCUCUGCAUUUGGUGGGCAAAGUUGACCCACCAUUGAUUUUGGAUCCUCCGGAUCUCUCUCUGUGCUUCACUCUUGGCCG